rnacentral:rRNA from 1 species
UAGGGAAUCUUCGGCAAUGGGGGGAACCCUGACCGAGCAACGCCGCGUGAGUGAAGAAGGUUUUCGGAUCGUAAAGCUCUGUUGUUAAGGAAGAACGAGUGUGAGAAUGGAAAGUUCAUACUGUGACGGUACUUAACCAGAAAGGGACGGCUAACUACGUGCCAGCAGCCGCGGUAAUACGUAGGUCCCGAGCGUUGUCCGGAUUUAUUGGGCGUAAAGCGAGCACAGGCGGUUAGAUAAGUCUGAAGUUAAAGGCAGUGGCUCAACCAUUGUAGGCUUUGGAAACUGUUUAACUUGAGUGCAGAAGGGGAGAGUGGAAUUCCAUGUGUAGCGGUGAAAUGCGUAGAUAUAUGGAGGAACACCGGUGGCGAAAGCGGCUCUCUGGUCUGUAACUGACGCUGAGGCUCGAAAGCGUGGGGAGCGAACAGG